GACGAACGCUGGCGGCGUGCUUAACACAUGCAAGUCGAACGAAGAGCGAUGGAAGCUUGCUUCUAUCAAUCUUAGUGGCGAACGGGUGAGUAACGCGUAAUCAACCUGCCCUUCAGGGGGGGACAACAGUUGGAAACGACUGCUAAUACCGCAUACGAUCUAAUCUCGGCAUCGAGGAUAGAUGAAAGGUGGCCUCUACAUGUAAGCUAUCACUGAAGGAGGGGAUUGCGUCUGAUUAGCUAGUUGGAGGGGUAACGGCCCACCAAGGCGAUGAUCAGUAGCCGGUCUGAGAGGAUGAACGGCCACAUUGGGACUGAGACACGGCCCAGACUCCUACGGGAGGCAGCAGUGGGGAAUCUUCCGCAAUGGACGAAAGUCUGACGGAGCAACGCCGCGUGAGUGAUGACGGCCUUCGGGUUGUAAAGCUCUGUUAAUCGGGACGAAAGGCCUUCUUGCGAAUAGUGAGAAGGAUUGACGGUACCGGAAGAGAAAGCCACGGCUAACUACGUG
rnacentral:rRNA from 1 species